GGCCUAUUAGCUCAGCUGGUUAGAGCGUGGGCCUAAUAAGGCCAAGGUCGCAGGUUCCAGACCUGCAUGGGCGAUCCA